AACACAGCUGCACGCUUAGCUGUGUGUGAACUGAAUAACGACGUGCGGUGACCAGACACCAACAGGCUUUGAAAGAAGUGACGUGAUUUUUGCUGAUCAUGAUACGUGUCUAUGCGUCUGUUAUUUACAUAGUGAUUUGUGGACUGACCAGCUAACAGCAAAGUUUGCACUUGAUGCAAUUAUUCACACUCGAUAUACUGUGGAAAAUGAAAUCUGAACCACGUUUUGGGGGACUCCUGUUAUUUCUUAAACAUCGUAACUGAAAUUCAUGCAUAUCCAUACCAGGCAAAACCAAGGAAUGCUGUAACUAUGGGGUCUUACUGUAUUGCCCAGGCUCGUCUCAAACUCCUAGCCUCAAGUGCUCCUCCCAACUCAGCCUCUGCAGUAGCUGGGAUUACAGGGCAUGGGCCACUGUGCCUGGCUCAACAAAUAUCCUUCCAAGAGAAGACGAAGAGAGAAGACAAUUACAAAAGGCCAUGUGAAGACAGAAGCAGAGAUGGGAGGGAGGCGGUCACAAGCCAAAGAAUGCCCGCAGCCACCAGGAGCUGAAAGAGAAGGAAAGCUUCUCUCCCAGAGCCUCCAGAGGCAGUGUGGCCCUGCCAACACCUUGAUCUCAGAUUUCUGGCCUCCAGAAUCGAUCUAUUGCCUGGGACCAUGUGUGCACCCUGGAGAGAGUGACCAUGGUGCUCAUGGUAAGUGUGGCUAACAAAAAUGGCACACCCACAUCCCAAGUGCCAGCUCUCUGCUCUCUCUGCUCACAGUGAAGACAGAGUGUCCUCUGAGCCCAGACUCCUGUCCCUGCACCCAGCUCUGCUCUGCAGUAAUUGAGACUCCUUGGGCAACUUGUCUCCCUUCUCCAAAUCUCAGUUUGCUCAGCUGGAAAAUAGAGAUGCUAAUCACAGCACUCACGUCACAGGUGUUUUGUGUGACAAGUGAGUAAGAUGGGAGAGAAGAAGCAAGUUCUAAGUCCAAUGCCUGCCUUGUGAUCAAUACCUUAUAAAUAUGGGUCAUGAUGCAAUAUUUUCAAGUCCAGACUCAGGGCUGGCUUCCCUCUGCCACUUGUGCACUGUUUAAUGACUUGUGGCCAGGUCACCUUGACCUGCCCUAGCUUCAAUCUCUGAAUCUCUGAAAUAAAGUACUCAUUAUCCCUGCCCUGCAGAGCAGUGUUAGGAUCAAAGACAAUAAAUAAAGCAGGUAAAAGGCUUACCACGCAGCUUGACACGUAAUACGUGCUCAAUCAGGAUUAGUUAUUAUUAUUAUUAUAUAAGCACUUUUACAUAUUACCUCAUUUAAUUCUCACAUCUACUCUCUGAGACAGAAAACAACAGGUAGGGUUGCCCAUUUGUGUAUGUUCCAGAAACAAUCACGUAUUCUGGGAAUGAAUGAAUGCAGGGAGGAAUGAAUGAAUCACCACGAUAAUUUGUGUCUUCUGCGACAGUGGGUGCAUAGUCUCUAUUUCUCGGAGCAAUGGUGAUGUCUGCCAAAAUAAAUUAACUUUCCCACAUCAAUGACUCAUUUGGCAGGAAUAACAGCCUUGCAAACUGAAUAGAGAAUGAAGAAGGAGGACGCCUCAGGCAGGGGGAGAGAGAGGAGUUUGUAAUGACUCAAGAUACAAGAACCAGCUUCUUAUUCAUUCUCUUUCUCUCCCUAACCAAAAAUGUAGGCCCUUAUAUACAUAUACAGUUUUUGAGACAGGGGCUCGCUGUCACCCAGGCUGGAGUGCAGUGGCACCAUCUUGGCUUACUGCAACCUCCGCCUCCCAGGCUUAAGUGAUCCUCCCACCUCAGCCUCCCCAGUAGCUGGGACUAUAGACGUGAGCCACUGAGCCCAGCCAGCCUGAUAUACAUAUUUAACCUUUUAAACUGGAGAAGUGGAAGUUCCACGCUAUUAAGUGGCUUUGGAUAUCAGAACCAUAAAAAGAAGCUUACAGACAGCAUCAUGUAACCUUUGCUGGGUGGACAGGGGUCCAGGACAGGACAGGUGUCCAGGACAUCAUGUGACCUUUGCUGGGUGGACAGGGGGUCCAGGACAGGACAUGGGUCCAGGACAGGACAUGGGUCCAGGACAGGACAGGGGUCCAGGACAUCAUGUGACCUUUGCUAGGUGGACAGGGGUUCAGCGCUCACACCAUGUGUGGCAGGGCCAGCGCUGGGCCCCAGGACACCUGACUUCCAUCCAGUGCUCCUUCCUUAUCCCACUGCUUCUGGAUCGAUGCAGGAUCUUCUCAGACACUUCCGCCACCUGGCCAUUCUCACACUCUGCUCAAGACUCCUUCCAUGGCCGGGGAAACUUCAGGACAGAGCAAAGAAAGAUCAAAGACUGAGACUGCAGAUCCUCACGAGGAAGAAUAAAGGAGUUGGGAGGAGAUGGCUAAGAUGGACUUAAUUACCUACUUCUCAUCUGCAUGAGGGUUGUAUGAGGAGGCCAAGGACUUACUACUCUUCUAUUGGAACCAACUCCAACAACCUUCUGCUUCUACUAAUCAGACACAAGGCAGCAUCUGGGGUGGGAGUAGGUUGGAAAGGAGUGAGCUUCUGUUUUAUUUUUCCUUCUUCAGCAAUCGCGAAGGUAUAUCCACGCAGUAGAGAUGACAUGACCUGGAAUCGAAUUCUGGCUCCACCACUGCCUAGCCAUUGAUCUCGGCCAAAUCACUUAGCAUUCCUAAGCCUCAGUCGCUUCUGUGUUAAAAGGGCUUAUAAUACCUACCACAAAUGUUGUGAUCAGUGGUGCUGGUCAAUGUUUAAUAACUAGUUCUCUGGAGGAAAACCCUGGUAUAUAGCAUUUGCCCAUUUCUAUGGUGUAAAUACUCCCACCAAAGUCAAUCUCAAACUCCCAAGGGGAGGUCACUGAACACAGAGUUGGGAAGACAGGCACAGGAGCAGACACUGUAGAGAAUUUUCACCAAACAGAUAUCAUAAUCUUAAGAGCAUAGGUAAUGGGAGAACAUAGUAAAUUAAGAAGUGAGGAGUUUUAGUGUUAUUACUUUUAUCUUUCAAUUCAAUGUAUCUAUUUAAUUGUAAGUUUAUAUAAUUUUUUAUUUUUUUUCGAGACAGUCUCACUCUGUUGUCCAGGCUGGAGUGCAGUGGCACCAUUUUGCUCACUGCAACCUCUGUCUCCCAGGUUCAAGCGAUUCUCCUGCCUCAGCCUCCCGAGUAGCUGGGAUUACAGACACACACCACCACACCCAGCUAAUUUUUGUAUUUUUUGUAUUGACGGAGUUUCAUCAUGUUGGCCAGGCUGAUCUCCAACUCCUGGCCUCCAGUGAUCCGCCCACCUCGGCCUCCCAAAGUGCUGGGAUUACAGGCGUGAGUCACCACGCCCAGCCCAUACAAUUUCUUUUCUUUUCUUUUCUUUUCCUCUUUUUUGAGACAGGGUCUUGCUCUGUCACCCAGGCUGGAGUGCAGUGGUGUGAUCAUGGCUCACUGCAACCUCAACUUCCCAGGCUGAAGUGAUCCUCCCACCUCAUGAGGAGCUGGAAUUACAGGUGCAUGCUACCACGCCUGGCUAUCUUUUUAAUUCUUUUGUAGAGACAAGGUCUCCCUAUGUUACCCAGGCUGGUCUUGAACUCCUAGGCUGACGUGAUCCUCCCAGCUUGGCCUCCCAAAGUGCUGGGAUUACAGGAGUGAGCCACCACGCCCCACCAGUUCAUAUAAUUUCUUUAAAAUAAUAGUUGUGCCUUCCUGUUCUCAAAAAUCCAAUACCCUAGGAGACAUAGGGAGCCAGGUUUAGCGGUAGAGGGGAUGAAUUUGCAGGUAACUAAAGAACAGUAUAGUUGAUUGGGAGGUUCAGGGCCUGCAGUGUGCAGUGGAACUGACCUGUACUCGCCCUGCUUCCCCAAACGGGUGACCUUGGUCAAGCACUCCCAUUUCUCUGCUUCAGUGUGCUCAUUCAUAAAAUAAUCAUCUGCUCGUCGGGUUAAUGCCAGUUCUAAAUGAGAUGAUCUGGGGAAAACUUUUAGCACAGAGCCUGGCAUAUAGUAACAGCUCAAUAAAUGGUGGCAGCCCUCAUUAGUGAUGUGAUAAUUGUGCUAAUGGGGAAGCGUACACAUUGCAUCUGCAUUGGGAGCCUGGCCAAGGUACAGAUUAAGGUGCUGGGUUCAGGCCAAGCUCGAGGAAGCAAACGAGGGCUGCAGUUUACGCCGGAAAAUUAGGUGGGUGUUGACUUGGGCAGAUGGCAGCCCAGCCCUUAAAAAAAAAAAAAAAAGUCCGGAAAUAGGAACAUUGGAUGCAUGCCUCUCUCUCUAGGGUGGGAACAAGGGACAGGAGAGCAAAUCAAUGGGCUUAAAAAGUCAAAGCAGGUCAAGUGGGCCGGGUGUGGUGGCUCAUGCCUGUAAUCCCAGCUCCUUGGGAGGCCAAGGUGAGCGAAUCACCUGAGGUCAGGAGUUCAAGACCAGCCUGGCCAAUAUGGUGAAACCCCGUCUCCACUAAACAUACAAAAAUUAGCCAGGCGUGGUGGCACAUGCCUGUAACCGCACCUACUUGGGAGGCUGAGGAAAGAGAAUCACCUGAACCCGGGAGGCGGAGGCUUCAGUGAGCCAAGAUUGUGCCACUGCGCUCCAACCUGGGCAAUAGAGUGAGACUCCAUCUCAAAAAAUAAAAUAAGGCUGGGUGCCAUGGUUCAUGCCUGUAAUCCCAACGCUUGGGGAGGCUGAGGCGGGCAGAUCACCUGAGGCCAGGAGUUCAAGACCAGCGUGGCCAACAUGGUGAAAUCCCAUCUCUACUAAAAAUACAAAAAUUAGAUGGGCAUGGUGGCAUGUACAUGUAAUCUCAGCUACUCAGGAGACUGAGGCACAAGAAUCAUUUGAACCCUGGAGGCGGAGUUUUCAGGGAGCUGAGAUCCGGCCACUGCACUCCAGCCUGGGCAACAGAUUGAGGCUCUGUCUCAAUAAAAUAAAAUAAAAUAAAAUGAAUAAAAUAAAAUAAAAUAAACCCAGGUCAACUGCUCCAAGGAACAGUCUGCCUUCACCUGUCAGCAUUUGUGGAGGCUAGUGAAGCACAUGCUGUUGUUGGCGUGGAGAAUCAUGAACUGAUGGUGGUGGCUGUAUGAACCGCUUCGUGGGCAGUGGAUCCGACCAGAGCUGAACUUUAGAAAAGAUCUGUUGCUUGGAUAAGGAACAGAUUCGGUUGCUCAACCCAACCUGCCCUUAUCGCCAAUGACCCAGCUCAACGUUCUCUCUGGUUUAGAGGAAAACAAACAGGACGUUAGGAAGUAACCAGAUCAGAUGGUCAGAGGUGGAUCUAGGGGGAGCCGGGACACUCUCUAACGCUCCUCCAGCAGGAGAUGUCCUGGGCGGUGCCUAGAGGAAUGUGAUGGCUUCACACAUGUGGAAGAGCCUAGCGAGUGAGGCUCCCUGCAGCUAUGGAUGUCCACUGCAGCCUCAUGUCCUGGCCUCGCCCUCCCAGUAUGAGCUUGGAAUUUUCUUAAACAAGAAAUUUCCAGUGUUGGCCAGGCGCAGUCCCAGCACCUUUGGAGGCUGAGGCGGGUGGGUCACCUGAGGUCAGGAGUUCGAGACCAGCCUGGCUAACAUGGUGAAAUUCUGUCUGUACUAAAAAAUACAAAAAUUAGCUGGGCCUGGUGGCGUGUGCCUGUAGUUCCAGCUACUUAGGAGGCGGAAGCAGGAGAAUCGCUUGAACCUGGGAGGCAGACAUUGCAGUGAGCCAAGAUCACGCCACCGCACUCCAGCCUGGGCAACAGAGUGCCUCA
rnacentral:lncRNA from 10 species